CCCCAUCACUUCUAUUAAGAGCUUCUCAUCUGAAUGAACCCUUGCAGCAACUUCUUAGCUACAUUAACCGCUUCUAGUUGUAUCCUCUUUGUGUACACACACCCAGCUUGCUUCCAGCUUGAUUUUAUGUGGCAAUCAUAGCUGCUUGUUCUCAUCUUUGAAAUUACUCCUUGCUUUCUCUUGCCUAACCUGGGUUAACUCUCAAAUGCCUACGGAACUAAACUCAUAACAUAAACAUGGGAUUUGGGACUUGGAUAAGACCCUGCAGCCAAUACAAGGCUCUUAUUUUGCUAACCCAGCUGUAGGAAAUAAGACUCAAACUCUCAGCAUGGCCACUUAUGUCCUGGAUAUUUUUUCUUCUAACCCUUGAAGUUUCAGCUUAGCUAUUAUUCUCCUCAUUAGUUGGGCACAAUAUCCUUUGUUUUCCCAAAGCAUUCUGCAUGUACUCAUCCUGUCAUUUUACCAGAAGAGUAUCACUUCCCAUUUGGACUGUAAAAGAGGGCUCCAUGAGCGUGGAAAUAGUCUUUACUUCAGAGAAGCUGAGUUGUUGUAUUUCCCUGAGGCAGCAAAUUCAUUUGCAAACACAAAGGCUCAGGGAAAUUUGCGCCCUAUUACACAGUCUCCAAAUAUUCCAGACUUGCUAAGACUCCAGUCGAAAAGGGUCAAGGCAGUUCAUCAGAUUCCCUUCCUAAUUCUCAACUUCCAAAGCAAGUUCUUCCCAGAGCACAGACAAAGGAAGACUAUCUGGCUGCCUAGUCUACAGCCCUGAGGACAAAAGCAUCGUCAGUGACAAGGAGAAGUCCUGCUGGGGAGUAAGAUUUUACCGAGACCCAGUUGAGGAGACAUGUGGGGAACUUGGAUCGUCUGAGACAAGCUGUCAAUGCCAGGCAAGCAGCGAUAUGCAGUCUCAGCUGCAUGAACCUCAUCUCUCACUGGUCACAUCCCUCCCCAGCAGGAGUGGAACAAAGCUCUGUGAACUUGGUGGCCACACACAAACAUGUGCUCCAUCUCUUAGGCUGCCAAGGCCCACCAGGCCAGAAUGGACCCAACAAGGAUGCCGUCACUAUACAGGAAGCCAUCUCCAAUUAUCUUUUUAUCUCUAAUUACAAUCCCUCAAGCCUUCUACCCAAUUCUCAAACUUCCUGCUAUACUUUGCGUUGUUAUGUAUGUUUUCUCAUCUACUACAAAGUCUCAUACCACUCACAUCACAGUUCAAUUAUAUUCUAAUUGUUAACAUUAUUACUGACAGUCACUGUUUCAAAAAGCUUAUUAUGUUCUAGGACCUUAUAUACACUAUUUAAUUUAGUUAUAACAACAACCAUCCAUGAUAGACAAUUAUUUUCUCAGUUUUCUGAACAAACUUAAAACAACAU
ensembl:lncRNA